rnacentral:misc_RNA from 1 species
GAAACGCGAUAGUUAAUGUGAAUUGCAGAAUUCAGUGAAUCAUCGAGUCUUUGAACGCACAUUGCGCCCAUAGGUAUUCCUUUGGGCAUGUCUGUUUGAGCGUCAUUACAACCCUCAGCUAACCGCUGGUUUUGAACCUGAACGGGUGACACCGCGCCGGUUUUAAAGUUGUAAGCUCUGCUGGCCGCUCUGCCCAACCAGAACAUAGUAAGCACUACUUGUCCGCGUGAAGCUGAACGGUACGGCCUGAACAAAACCUACCCACUCUCAAGGUUUGACCUCAGAUCAGACAAGGAUACCCGCUGAACUUAAGC